UACGUAGGUGGCAAGCGUUGUCCGGAAUUAUUGGGCGUAAAGCGCGCGCAGGCGGUUUCUUAAGUCUGAUGUGAAAUCUCGCGGCUCAACCGUGAGCGAUCAUUGGAAACUGGGAGACUUGAGUGCAGAAGAGAAGAGCGGAAUUCCACGUGUAGCGGUGAAAUGCGUAGAGAUGUGGAGGAACACCAGUGGCGAAGGCGGCUCUUUGGUCUGUAACUGACGCUGAGGCGCGAAAGCGUGGGGAUCAAACAGG
rnacentral:rRNA from 1 species